rnacentral:rRNA from 1 species
AUUGAACGCUGGCGGCAGGCCUAACACAUGCAAGUCGAACGGUAACAGAAAGCAGCUUGCUGCUUUGCUGACGAGUGGCGGACGGGUGAGUAAUGUCUGGGAAACUGCCUGAUGGAGGGGGAUAACUACUGGAAACGGUAGCUAAUACCGCAUAACGUCGCAAGACCAAAGAGGGGGACCUUCGGGCCUCUUGCCAUCGGAUGUGCCCAGAUGGGAUUAGCUAGUAGGUGGGGUAACGGCUCACCUAGGCGACGAUCCCUAGCUGGUCUGAGAGGAUGACCAGCCACACUGGAACUGAGACACGGUCCAGACUCCUACGGGAGGAAGCAGUGGGGAAUAUUGCACAAUGGGGGAAAGCCUGAUGCAGCCAUGCCGCGUGUAUGAAGAAGGCCUUCGGGUUGUAAAGUACUUUCAGCGGGGAGGAAGGGAGUAAAGUUAAUACCUUUGCUCAUUGACGUUACCCGCAGAAGAAGCACCGGCUAACUCCGUG